rnacentral:rRNA from 1 species
AGACCGGCUUAUUGGUCGUGCUUUUGUACGUACUGGUAUAAUCGGUUUCUCCUUUCUGACGAACUUUAAUGCCAUUAAUUUGGUGUUUUAGGGAAUCAGGACUGUUACUUUGAAAAAAUUAGAGUGUUUAAAGCAGGCUCACGCUUGAAUACAUUAGCAUGGAAUAACGGAAUAGGACGCUUGAUUCUAUUUUGUUGGUUUCUAGGAUCGACGUAAUGAU